AUUGGCCUUUAAUUGUGGUCUGGUAUGAACGGAAACAUAUAUAGCUUCUGUCUCAUUUGUACUGUUGGUAACUUGCUUAGUAGGUGAAAAUUCCUAUUAGCUUAAUUGUAGGACGAUAAGACCCUUAGAAUUAUUAAUAAGUGAACACCUAAUAUGUGUAAAUCCUUUUUGUUGGGGCGACAUAUUCUCAAGUAACAUAAUUAAUAUAAAAAUCACAGGUCUAAUAUAAUUAGGAAGAUUUAAUUACCUAAGGGAUAACAGCAUAAUAUUAAUAUAUGUUUAUGACCUCGAUGUUGGACUAGGUAAAUUUAUUAAUUAGAAGUUAUAAAUACUUGUUCUGUUCGAACAGGAACACC
rnacentral:rRNA from 1 species